rfam:Human herpesvirus 1 complete genome
GAACGCGAAGCGUUCGCACUUUGUCCUAAUAAUAUAUAUAUUAUUAGGACAAAGUGCGAACGCUUCGCGUUC